UGCGUAGGGGGCAAGCGUUGUCCGGAAUCAUUGGGCGUAAAGCGCGUGUAGGCGGCCCGAUAAGUCCGCUGUGAAAGUCCAGGGCUCAACCCUGGGAUGCCGGUGGAUACUGUCGGGCUCGAGUCCGGAAGAGGAGUGUGGAAUUCCUGGUGUAGCGGUGAAAUGCGCAGAUAUCAGGAGGAACACCAAUGGCGAAGGCAGCACUCUGGGACGUGACUGACGCUGAGACGCGAAAGCGUGGGGAGCAAACAGG
rnacentral:rRNA from 1 species